GAUGAACGCUGGCGGCGUGCCUAAUACAUGCAAGUCGAGCGAAUGGAUUAAGAGCUUGCUCUUAUGAAGUUAGCGGCGGACGGGUGAGUAACACGUGGGUAACCUGCCCAUAAGACUGGGAUAACUCCGGGAAACCGGGGCUAAUACCGGAUAACAUUUUGAACCGCAUGGUUCGAAAUUGAAAGGCGGCUUCGGCUGUCACUUAUGGAUGGACCCGCGUCGCAUUAGCUAGUUGGUGAGGUAACGGCUCACCAAGGCAACGAUGCGUAGCCGAACUGAGAGGGUGGUCGGCCACACUGGGACUGCAACACGGCCCAGACUCCUGCGGGGGGCAGCAGUAGGGAAUCUUCCGCAAUGGACGAAAGUCUGAAGGAGCAACGCCGCGUGAGUGAUGAAGGCUUUCGGGUCGUAAAACUCUGUUGUUAGGGAAGAACAAGUGCUAGGUGAAUAAGCUGGCACCUUGACGGUACCUAACCAGAAAGCCACGGCUAACUACGUGCCAGCAGCCGCGGUAA
rnacentral:rRNA from 1 species